GCAUAUCCAUAGCGGAGGAAAAGAAACUAACCAGGGAUUCCCCUAGUAACUGCGAGUGAAGCGGGAAGAGCUCAAAUUUGAAAUCUGGCGGUCUUUCGGCCGUCCGAGUUGUAACCUGUAGAGGCAUUUUCCGCGUUGGACCGUGUACAAGUCUCCUGGAAUGGAGCGUCAUAGAGGGUGAGAAUCCCGUCCGUGACACGGACGACCAAUGCUUUGUGAUAUGCCUUCGAAGAGUCGCGUUGUUUGGGAAUGCAGCGCAAAAUGGGUGGUAAAUUCCAUCUAAAGCUAAAUACUGGCGAGAGACCGAUAGCGAACAAGUACCGUGAGGGAAAGAUGAAAAGCACUUUGGAAAGAGAGUUAAACAGUACGUGAAAUUGUUGAAAGGGAAACGCUUGAAGUCAGUCGCGUUCCGAGGAACUCAGCCUUGCUUCGGCUUGGUGUACUUUCCUUGUGAACGGGUCAACAUUAAUUUUGGCCGGUGGAUAAAUGCAAGGGGAAUGUAGCGUUGCUUCGGUGACGUGUUAUAGCCCUUUGUUGUAUACACCGGCCGGGAUUAAGGAACCGCAGCACGCCCUUUGUGGCCGAGGGGUUCGCCCCUACGUACCGUGCUUAGGAUGUUGGCAUAAUGGCUUUAAGCGACCCGUCUUGAAACACGGACCAAGGAGUCUAACAUGCUUGCGAGUGUUCGGGUGGAAAACCCUUGCGCGUAAUGAAAGUGAAAGUUAGGAACCCUCGCAAGAGGGUGCACUGACACCCGGCCCUGAAGUUCUCUGACGGUGCUGCGGUAGAGCAAGUAUGUUGGGACCCGAAAGAUGGUGAACUAUGCCUGAAUAGGGCGAAGCCAGAGGAAACUCUGGUGGAGGCUCGUAGCGAUUCUGACGUGCAAAUCGAUCGUCAAAUUUGGGUAUAGGGGCGAAAGACUAAUCGAAACCAUCUAGUAGCUGGCUGCUGCGAGUUCCCUCAGA
rnacentral:rRNA from 1 species